UCCCUGGUGGCUCAGACGGUAAAGCAUCUGCCUGCAAUGAGGGAGACCCAGGUUUGAUUCCUGGGUUGGGAA
rnacentral:tRNA from 1 species